GUUUCGUCAAUUACAUUAAAUCAGUAAAAUUAGUCCGAUUCCCAUCGUGUUUGGGCUCAUUUUACUCAGCACAAUCUUAGCAAUUCACUGUCAAAACACACUUUUCACCAUUUCAACCCAGUUAAAUUAUCAAAAUUAUUUUCCAUUAAAAUUAUUAAAUUGAACGAUAUUAAAUUAAAUACUCCCAUACAUCUCAUUAAAUCACCAUGUAUAAAGACGGACAUUCACAAAAGAUAAAAAUACUAAAAAUAAUAAAAAUGAGAAUAAAAUUGAAUCGUUAAAAUUAUUCCACCAACAACACAUAGCAACAUAACCUUUCAUUCCACGAAAGAACACACAUUGAAUUUUUUGCCAGAAACAUACGUUGAGGUACGCGCAGCAUAAAACAGGAAAAAGUGGAGUAAGGAGUUGCGCCGGGAAAAAACCAACGGAAAAGUGUAACGAGAAAAGUUCGGAAUUACAAGUGGAUGCGAAACGGCCGCUGGGGAAUGGGAACGAAAAAUGCUAUGGUAAUCCCCGGUAAUCCGCGGAACACUUUACAACUGGUGCCGUUGCAUUGUGUCGUUGUAUUUCAUUUCUAGGGGAUAUAAAAGAUUAUUUUACUGGGGGCCUCGUUGCUGGCAUUUAUCACGUGAAAGUCGGAUAACGGAGGUUUGGUCAGCUCGUAGCUAAAACGGGGAAGUUCAAGAAUACUCUACUAUUUUUGUCCACCCCAUAGCCAGAAGUGGAAAAUAUAAGAAAAGUUUUACUCGCCACAUACAGAAACUAAAAUUAUUCAAUAAUGUUGAUUGCUUUAAUGUAUCAACGCAUCAAAGUAGUUUGAAUACUUGGUGAAGAGAAAAUACCAAAAUGUUACUGGACAAGAAAGGUUUGAGAUACAUUGAGAGUCAUUAUAUUCAUUUAUUUAUACUUCACUUUUUUUUGGUUUAUAUUAUAUGUACUCUAAUGUGUCUCAAGGAAAAAAUUUAAUCUGUGUUCUUUCAUCAAAUAGGCAGAUCACUUUAGAAUAUUUUUGUGAACAAAUAUUCAUUAUUUCUGCAGUUCUAUUUUAUGUAUUGUACAAAAUGUUUAUUAUUGAAUUUUUAAUUUAACAUUGAAUUUUAAACUUUACAAUUUAACUAACCAAACAAAAUUAAUUACAAUUAAUAGCGACAGCUACAAAAAUAUUCUCCCCAACAAAUACACUGUACCCAUUACACAAAAUAUUAUUAAACAUUAUUAAAUAUUAUUAAACAUUAUUAAAUAUUAUUAAACAUUAUUAAAUAUUAUUAAACAUUAUUAAACAUUAUUAAAUAUUA